GUCCACACCGUAAACGUUGGGCGCUAGGUGUGGGGUCCAUUCCACGGAUUCCGUGCCGCAGCUAACGCAUUAAGCGCCCCGCCUGGGGAGUACGGCCGCAAGGCUAAAACUCAAAGGAAUUGACGGGGGCCCGCACAAGCGGCGGAGCAUGCGGAUUAAUUCGAUGCAACGCGAAGAACCUUACCUGGGUUUGACAUACACCGGAAAGCCUCAGAGAUGAGGCCCCUUUUGUCGGUGUACAGGUGGUGCAUGGCUGUCGU
rnacentral:rRNA from 1 species